CAAACCUUGGGGUGGGUGGCUUUAAGAGGCUCAGCCUAAACCUGCAGGUGACAAGGCCACUCAAAAGGAACUGAGGUUCCCAUGUUCCUGAUCCAUGCGUCCAGUCCAACAAGAAGAUAAAUGUUGAAAGCGGAGUGAGGACCAGAGAUGCCUCAAAAGGUCUGAAGGAGGAGGCUGUGCUUGCUUUGGACACUGAGAAAUGACAGGAGCUGAAGAACAGAUAUAUCCAGAGAAGGGAAGUGAAUAAAUCAUGAGGAGAAAGGCAGCAGGGACUUUCCUCUUAACAGUGCUUUCUUGGGAUGUACUUUAGGGCUGAUAAAUGCAAGAUGAGACCAAUGCCAACUCCCUCCAUCUUUGCAAGAAGAGCUGAUCCCAUAAACAGACUAGUUGGAAAUCUCUUGGUUCCUGGAAAGAUAUUUGGUUGAAAGCUGCCUCAUGGAUGACUUGGUAUGUAAUACAAUCUUCCUGCUUCGUCUCUGCUUUCGACUUCCUGACAUCGAAUUGACCUUGAUCUUGAACUCAGGAAGGAGGGGCAGUACAGGGAACAGACAUACACAUGGUCUGAAUCACACAGGUCAUUUCUCUAACACUUCAUUGCUCAGCCAACUAGUACCAUGUGAUGAUGGAAGCUACUGAAAGCUCAAAACACUUUCCAGGCAACAGCAACUUUGUCUUAUGCUACAGUGCACUCCAGGGCAAGAACAGCAAAGGGGCACCAAUCCUCUGAUGGAAUAAUGUGUCACCUUGCACCCACCACCUGUCAGUGCAAGCUCCUUCACCUGUGCGGGGAGCCUGAAGCCCUGGGGACUGCAGCGUGGUGACUGGAAGACAAAGUCAUAUGUGCUGGUGCCGUGGACCAAGACCUCCCUGCAUGAUAUUGAUCAUAAAGGAUUGUUCCCUUAAAAAAAAAAAACAAAACAAAACAAAACAG